UAUUGGGCAAUGGAGGAAAAUCUGACCCAGCAACGCCGCGUGAAUGAUGAAGGUCUUCGGAUUGUAAAGUUCUUUUCUAAGGGAAGAAGAAAGUGACGGUACAUGAGGAAUAAGCCACGGCUAACUACGUGCCAGCAGCCGCGGUAAUACGUAGGUGGCAAGCGUUAUCCGGAUUUACUGGGUGUGAAGGGCGUGUAUGCGGGAAAGCAAGUCAGAUGUGAAAACCACGGGCUCAACCUGUGGCCUGCAUUUGAAACUGUUUUUCUUGAGUACUGGAGAGGCAGACGGAAUUACUAGUGUAGCGGUGAAAUGCGUAGAUAUUAGGAGGAACACCAGUGGCGAAGGCGGUCUGCUGGACAGCAACUGACGCUGAGGCGCGAAAGCGUGGGGAGCAAACAGG
rnacentral:rRNA from 1 species